rnacentral:miRNA from 1 species
UGAGGCAGGAGAAUUGCUUGAACCCAGGAGGUGGAGGUUGCAGUGAGCCGAGAUUGAGCCACUGCACUCCAGCCUGGGUGACAGAGUGAGACUCCAUCUC